rnacentral:rRNA from 1 species
AACGAACGCUGGCGGCAUGCCUAACACAUGCAAGUCGAACGAUGCUUUCGGGCAUAGUGGCGCACGGGUGCGUAACGCGUGGGAAUCUGCCCUUGGGUUCGGAAUAACAGUGAGAAAUUGCUGCUAAUACCGGAUGAUGUCUUCGGACCAAAGAUUUAUCGCCCAGGGAUGAGCCCGCGUAGGAUUAGCUAGUUGGUGGGGUAAUGGCCUACCAAGGCGACGAUCCUUAGCUGGUCUGAGAGGAUGAUCAGCCACACUGGGACUGAGACACGGCCCAGACUCCUACGGGAGGCAGCAGUGGGGAAUAUUGGACGAUGGGCGCAAGCCUGAUCCAGCAAUGCCGCGUGAGUGAUGAAGGCCUUAGGGUUGUAAAGCUCUUUUACCCGGGAUGAUAAUGACAGUACCGGGAGAAUAAGCUCCGGCUAACUCCGUG